GCACAAGCGGCGGAGCAUGUGGAUUAAUUCGAUGCAACGCGAAGAACCUUACCUGGGCUUGACAUAUACAAGAUCGGCGUAGAGAUACGUUUUCCCUUGUGGUUUGUAUACAGGUGGUGCAUGGUUGUCGUCAGCUCGUGUCGUGAGAUGUUGGGUUAAGUCCCGCAACGAGCGCAACCCUUGUCUUAUGUUGCCAGCACGUUAUGGUGGGGACUCAUGAGAGACUGCCGGGGUUAACUCGGAGGAAGGUGGGGAUGACGUCAAAUCAUCAUGCCCCUUAUGUCCAGGGCUUCACACAUGCUACAAUGGUCGGUACAACGCGUUGCGAGCCUGUGAGGGUGAGCGAAUCGCUGAAAGCCGGCCUCAGUUCGGAUUGGGGUCUGCAACUCGACCCCAUGAAGUCGGAGUCGCUAGUAAU
rnacentral:rRNA from 1 species